UUCAAUAGCAAAAUUUCCUCUUUACCCCCAAUGUACGAUAUCAAUCAAUAUCUUGUCUGAUCAUCCAUCACCACCACCAUAUGGUAAACAAAUAGAAUUAGAAAAACCAUUGUAGCAGAUAAUAAAAGUUCUAGUUUUUCAUGGUUUAUAAAAUAAACAAAGAAUCAUACUUAUAACUAUGUCUCUCAGUUUGGAAUACACAUUCCUUAUCCUCAAACCAUAUGCUCCAGUUCUAUAGCCUUUUUUUUUUCUUCCUCUUCUUUUUCAUUUCUAUCUGCCAAGCUACAUUGGUUUACGCUUAACUUGAACGUUGUCGCUGCUGCAGCAAGUUUUUUUCUUUCUUAUUCACCUUGACCAAUAAUCAUCCUUUAUCUCUCCCCUCUCCCCGCCAAAGCAUACGGGAUUGAAUGUAGGUAAAAAUUUGCUACACAUCCUCUUCACACUCGGAUUAUCCCGUAGGUUACUUUUAGCAAAAAAUUGAAAACUCA